rnacentral:rRNA from 1 species
GAAUUCGCCCUUAGAGUUUGAUCCUGGCUCAGGACGAACGCUGGCGGCGCGCCUAACACAUGCAAGUCGAACGAGCGAGAGAGAGCUUGCUUUCUCGAGCGAGUGGCGAACGGGUGAGUAACGCGUGAGGAACCUGCCUCAAAGAGGGGGACAACAGUUGGAAACGACUGCUAAUACCGCAUAAGCCCACGGCUCGGCAUCGAGCAGAGGGAAAAGGAGCAAUCCGCUUUGAGAUGGCCUCGCGUCCGAUUAGCUAGUUGGUGAGGUAAUGGCCCACCAAGGCAACGAUCGGUAGCCGGACUGAGAGGUUGAACGGCCACAUUGGGACUGAGACACGGCCCAGACUCCUACGGGAGGCAGCAGUGGGGAAUAUUGCACAAUGGGGGAAACCCUGAUGCAGCGACGCCGCGUGGAGGAAGAAGGUCUUCGGAUUGUAAACUCCUGUUGUUGAGGAAGAUAAUGACGGUACUCAACAAGGAAGUGACGGCUAACUACGUGCCAGCAGCCGCGGUAAAACGUAGGUCACAAGCGUUGUCCGGAAUUACUGGGUGUAAAGGGAGCGCAGGCGGGAAGACAAGUUGGAAGUGAAAUCUAUGGGCUCAACCCAUAAACUGCUUUCAAAACUGUUUUUCUUGGGUAGUGCAGAGGUAGGCGGAAUUCCCGGUGUAGCGGUGGAAUGCGUAGAUAUCGGGAGGAACACCAGUGGCGAAGGCGGCCUACUGGGCACCAACUGACGCUGAGGCUCGAAAGUGUGGGUAGCAAACAGGAUUAGAUACCCUGGUAGUCCACACCGUAAACGAUGAUUACUAGGUGUUGGAGGAUUGACCCCUUCAGUGCCGCAGUUAACACAAUAAGUAAUCCACCUGGGGAGUACGACCGCAAGGUUGAAACUCAAAGGAAUUGACGGGGGCCCGCACAAGCAGUGGAGUAUGUGGUUUAACUCGACGCAACGCGAAGAACCUUACCAAGUCUUGACAUCCUGCGACGCACAUAGAAAUAUGUGUUUCCUUCAGGACGCAGAGACAGGUGGUGCAUGGUUGUCGUCAGCUCGUGUCGUGAGAUGUUGGGUUAAGUCCCGCAACGAGCGCAACCCUUACUGUCAGUUACUACGCAAGAGGACUCUGGCAGGACUGCCGUUGACAAAACGGAGGAAGGUGGGGAUGACGUCAAAUCAUCAUGCCCUUUAUGACUUGGGCUACACACGUACUACAAUGGCGUUAAACAAAGAGAAGCAAGACCGCGAGGUGGAGCAAAACUCAGAAACAACGUCCCAGUUCGGACUGCAGGCUGCAACUCGCCUGCACGAAGUCGGAAUUGCUAGUAAUCGUGGAUCAGCAUGCCACGGUGAAUACGUUCCCGGGCCUUGCACACACCGCCCGUCA